GACGAACGCUGGCGGCGUGCCUAAUACAUGCAAGUCGAACGAAGUGGGGACGGGUGAGUAAAAAGUGGGUAACCGACCAUCAGGGGGGAUAACACUUGGAAACAGGUGCUAAACAGAUACUAAUGUAUGGAGCGUCGGUGCAUUAGCUAGUUGGUGAGGUAACGGCUCACCAAGGCCACGAUGCAUAGCCUACCUGAGAGGGGGAUCGGCCACACUGGGACUGAGACACGGCCCAGACUCCUACGGGAGGCAGCAGGAGGGAAUCUUCGGCAAUGGACGAAAGUCUGACCGAGCAACGCCGCGUGAGUGAAGAAGGUUUUCGGAUCGUAAAACUCUGUUGUUAGAGAAGCGGUAUCUAACCAGAAAGCCACGGCUAACUACGUGCCAGCAGCCGCGGUAAUAC
rnacentral:rRNA from 1 species